rnacentral:tRNA from 3 species
GGGUCUUUAGCUCAGUUGGUAGAGCAGUUGACUUUUAAUCAAUUGGUCGCAGGUUCGAAUCCUGCACGACCCACCA